rnacentral:rRNA from 1 species
AUUGAACGCUGGCGGCAGGCUUAACACAUGCAAGUCGAGCGGAGCGGCGGUGGGGUGAGUAAUGCUUAGGAAUCUGUCUGGUAGCGGGGGAAAACGUCCGGCAAUGGGCGCUGAUACCGCAUACUAUCAGAUGAGUUAUGGUCGGUUUAGGUAGUUGGUGGGGUAAAGGCCUACCAAGGCUACGAUCCGCAACUGGUCUGAGAGGAUGAUCAGCCACACUGGAACUGAGACACGGUCCAGACUCCUACGGGAGGCAGCAGUGGGGAAUAUUGGACAAUGGGCGAAAGCCUGAGCCAGCCAGUCCGCGUGUUUGAAGAAGGUCUUCGGAUUGUAAAGCACUUUAAGUUGGGAGGCGUUACCCGCAGAAUAAGCAACGGCUAACUUCGUGCCAGCCGCCGCGGUAAUUC